GUUUCUGGGGAACGCUCCGCCGAGUUCCGCCGGCCCUUGUUACCUCCCUUCGUCCUCCUCGGAUCUCGUCCUCGACGACCUCCGCCGACUCUCCGUCGUCUCGGACAGAGCUAGUGUUUGUCUUGCUGCGGGGAUGGAACGGCUCUGCUCGGCCGAGUCACCACGGUUCUCCGAUUUAUUUACUUCUGCAAACUCAUCUGAUAACCAUCUGGGUGUCCCUUGGAAGAUUUCACAAAACUUUGAUGUUGUUGAUAAGGUUUGAGAUUCAACAUAUAAAGCACCAGAACAAAUGGUGUAUCAUAAGCAAAUCAAGAACAGCAGCCACCUCCUUACAAGUGAAACAUAUGAGAAGCCAUAGCCAUCAUGGAUCUACACUCAACACAAUUUUUUUUGAUAUUAAUUCAAUGUUGCUGCUCUAGCAAAUGCACCCAUCAAAAUUUGGUGCAAACUGUCACUCAAAUAAAUUUCAAAUAGAUACAUGCAGCUGCCAACACAAAAAAGUUGGCAAAUUUCAAGUGUUUUGUGUGAGAAGGUUAAAGAGUGGAACCAGUUCAGCUCCUGAAAUGAAGGUUUCCUUGUUAUUCUGAACCACCUGUAACAGAGAUGUCUCAGAUUAGUCUAGACUGCAACUUGAACCUGUAAAUGUUGCCCUGCAAACUCCAAAUUGAAUAGACAAAACUUAGUAACACUGAACUUGCAUGUAUUCCAAACUCAUAGUUGAACUGAAUAAUCAGAUGUCAAUGUUUCUA